rnacentral:rRNA from 1 species
UUCGCUGGCAGGUUCGUCUUAAGCAUGGCAAGUCAAACGGAAUGUAGCAAUACAUUUAGUGGCGAACGGGUGAGUAACGCGUGGAUGAUCUACCUAUGAGAUGGGGAUAACUACUAGAAAUAGUAGCUAAUACCGAAUAAGGUCAAUUAAUUUGUUAAUUGAUGAAAGGAAGCCUUUAAAGCUUCGCUUGUAGAUGAGUCUGCGUCUUAUUAGUUAGUUGGUGGGGUAAAUGCCUACCAAGACGAUGAUAAGUAACCGGCCUGAGAGGGUGAACGGUCACACUGGAACUGAGAUACGGUCCAGACUCCUACGGGAGGCAGCAGCUAAGAAUCUUCCGCAAUGGGCGAAAGCCUGACCGGAGCGACACUGCGUGAAUGAAGAAGGUCGAAAGAUUGUAAAAUUCUUUUAUAGAAGAGGAAUAAGCUUUGUAUUUUUUACAAAA